rnacentral:rRNA from 1 species
CCCUUAGAUGUUCUGGGCCGCACGCGCGCUACACUGUUCGACGCAGCGAGUCUUAACCUUGCCCGAAAGGUUUGGGUAAUCUUCAGCAAAGUCGAACGUGAUGGGGAUCGAUCAUUGCAAUUAUUGAUCGUGAACGAGGAAUUCCUAGUAAGUGCAAGUCAUCAGCUUGCGCUGAUUACGUCCCUGCCCUUUGUACACACCGCCCGUCGCUACUACCGAUUGAAUGGUUUAGUGAGAUCUCUGGAUUGACGCUGGCUAGGGGGCGACCCUUGGCCAGACUGCUCGAGAAACUGCUCAAACUUGAUCAUUUAGAGGAAGUAAAAGUCGUAACA